rnacentral:rRNA from 1 species
AUUGAACGCUGGCGGCAGGCCUAAAACAUGCAAGUCGAACGAGUGGCGGACGGGUGAGUAAUGUCUGGGAAAAUGCCUGAUGGAGGGGGAUAACUACUGGAAACGGUAGCUAAUACCGCAUACCAUCAGAUGUGCCCAGAUGGGAUUGUCUUGGUGGUGGGGUAACGGCUCACCAAGGCGACGAUCCCUAGCGGGUUUGAGAGGUUGACCAGCCACACUGGACCUUAGACACGGUCCUGACUCCUACGGGAGGCAGCAGUGGGGAAUAUUUCACAAUGGGCGCAAGCCUGAUGCAGCCAUGCCGCUUGUAUGAUGAAGGCCUGCGGGUUGUAAAGUACUUUCAGCGGGGAGGCGUUACCCGCAGAAGAAGCACCGGCUAACUCCGUGCCAGCAGCCGCGGUAAUUC